rnacentral:misc_RNA from 1 species
CUUUCUGGUCAGAAAGCUGAUGCAGCAGGAUUUGUGCGUCUUUUACUUGGUGAUCUAGAGUCAAGAAUCUCUAUGCAGUUCAGCCGUUUUGUUGAUGAAGCAUGUCAUCAGAUUGAAAGAAAUGAGCGUAAUGUGCGGCAAAUGGGGGUCUUAUCGUAUAUACCAAGGUUUGCAACUCUUGCAACUCGCAUGGAACAGUACAUUCAG